CAUUAGAUGUCUGAAAUGUAAGAAUAGAUCUUUUAAAUCUACUAUAGUAAUUAAACAAUUACUUCUAAUGA
rnacentral:tRNA from 1 species